rnacentral:rRNA from 1 species
AUUGAACGCUGGCGGCAGGCCUAACACAUGCAAGUCGAGCGAGCGGCGGAUGGGUGAGUAAUGACUGGGAAACUGCCUGACGGAGGGGGACAACUACUGGAAACGGUAGCUAAUACCGCAUACCAUCAGAUGUGCCCAGAUGGGAUUAGCUAGUAGGUGGGGUAACGGCUCACCUAGGCGACGAACCCUAGCUGGUCUGAGAGGAGAACCAGCCACAAAGGAACUGAGAAACGGUCCAGACUCCACAGGAAGGCGGCAGUAGGAAUUAUUGCACAAUGGGAGCAAUCCUUAUGCAGAAGUUACUGAGUUGUGAAGAAGGCCUUCGGGUUGAAAAGCACUUGCAGCGGAGAGGGGUUACCCGCAGGAGAAGCACCGGCUAACUCCGUGCCAGCAGCCGCGGUAAUAC